rnacentral:rRNA from 1 species
AAUUCGAUUGAGUUUGAUCAUGGCUCAGGACGAACGCUGGCGGCGUGCUUAACACAUGCAAGUGGAGCGACGAACCAGGGCUUGCCCUGGGGCAGAGCCGCGAACGGGUGAGUAACACGUGGGUAACCUGCCUUGAUGAUUGGGACAACCCCGGGAAACCGGGGCUAAUACCAAAUGUGCUCACACCCCAUCAGGGGUAUGAGGAAAGGAAGCUUCGGCCUCCGCAUCGAGAUGGGCCCGCGGUGCAUUAGCUUGUUGGUGGGGUAACGGCCCACCAAGGCGUCGAUGCAUAGCUGGUCUGAGAGGACGAUCAGCCACACUGGGACUGAGACACGGCCCAGACUCCUACGGGAGGCAGCAGUGGGGAAUCUUGCGCAAUGCGCGAAAGCGUGACGCAGCAACGCCGCGUGAGGGAAGACGGCCUUCGGGUUGUAAACCUCUUUCAGUUGGGACGAAGCUUCGUCGGUGAAUAGCCGGCCGGAGUGACGGUACCUUCACAAGAAGCCCCGGCUAACUACGUGCCAGCAGCCGCGGUAAUACGUAGGGGGCAAGCGUUGUCCGGAAUCAUUGGGCGUAAAGCGCGUGUAGGCGGCUCGAUAAGUCCGCUCUGAAAGUCCAGGGCUCAACC